rnacentral:tRNA from 1 species
UGGGUGGUGCAAAGGGUAAAUGCGCUUGGCUGCUAACCAAAAGGUUAUGGGUUCAGAGGUUCACGUCCUCCCAG